CGUAGGUGGCAAGCGUUGUCCGGAUUUAUUGGGCGUAAAAGCGAGCGCAGGCGGUCAAAUUAAGUCUGAUGUGAAAAGCCCCCCGGCUCAACCGGGGAAGGGUCAUUGGUAAACUGGUUGACUUGAGUGCAGAAGAGGAGAGUGGAAUUCCAUGUGUAGCGGUGAAAUGCGUAGAUAUAUGGAGGAACACCAGUGGCGAAGGCGACUCUCUGGUCUGUAACUGACGCUGAGGCUCGAAAGCGUGGGUAGCAAACAGGAUU
rnacentral:rRNA from 1 species